rnacentral:rRNA from 1 species
GUAGGGAGCAAGCGUUGUCCGGAAUCAUUGGGCGUAAAGCGCGCGUAGGCGGCCCUGUAAGUCCGUUGUGAAAGUCAAAGGCUCAACCUUUGAAAGCCGAUGGAUACUGCAGGGCUAGAGUCCGGAAGAGGCGAGUGGAAUUCCUGGUGUAGCGGUGGAAUGCGCAGAUAUCAGGAGGAACACCAAUAGCGAAGGCAGCUCGCUGGGACGGUACUGACGCUAAGGCGCGAAAGCGUGGGGAGCGAACAGGAUUAGAUACCCUGGUAGUCCACGCCGUAAACGAUGGGCACUAGGUGUGGGAGGUGUCGACUCCUCCCGUGCCGUCGCUAACGCACUAAGUGCCCCGCCUGGGGAGUACGGCCGCAAGGCUAAA